UACGGAGGGUGCAAGCGUUAAUCGGAAUUACUGGGCGUAAAGCGUGCGCAGGCGGUUUGUUAAGUCCGAUGUGAAAUCCCCGAGCUCAACUUGGGAAUUGCAAUGGAUACUGGCAAGCUGGAGUAUGGUAGAGGAAGGUGGAAUUCCCGGUGUAGCAGUGAAAUGCGUAGAGAUCGGGAGGAACACCAGUGGCGAAGGCGGCCUUCUGGACCAAUACUGACGCUCAUGCACGAAAGCGUGGGGAGCAAACAGG
rnacentral:rRNA from 1 species